GAUGAACGCUGGCGGCGUGCCUAACACAUGCAAGUCGAACGGGGACAGACGGAAACCUAGUGAAGUCUGUCCGAGUGGCGGACGGGUGAGUAACGCGUGGAUAACCUGCCGCAUGCAGGGGGAUACCGGCUGGAAACAGCCGCUAAUACCGCAUAAGCGCACGGUGCCGCAUGGCAGAGUGCGAAAAGGAGAAAUCCGGCAAGCGAUGGAUCCGCGUCCGAUUAGCCAGUUGGCGGGGUAAGGGCCCACCAAAGCGACGAUCGGUAGCCGGCCUGAGAGGGCGGACGGCCACAUUGGGACUGAGACACGGCCCAG
rnacentral:rRNA from 1 species